rnacentral:rRNA from 1 species
AUUGAACGCUGGCGGCAUGCCUUACACAUGCAAGUCGAACGGCAGCACGGGUGCUUGCACCUUGUGGCGAGUGGCGAACGGGUGAGUAAUACAUCGGAACAUGUCCUGUAGUGGGGGAUAGCCCGGCGAAAGCCGGAUUAAUACCGCAUACGAUCUACGGAUGAAAGCGGGGGACCUUCGGGCCUCGCGCUAUAGGGUUGGCCGAUGGCUGAUUAGCUAGUUGGUGGGGUAAGGGCCUACCAAGGCGACGAUCAGUAGCUGGUCUGAGAGGACGACCAGCCACACUGGGACUGAGACACGGCCCAGACUCCUACGGGAGGCAGCAGUGGGGAAUUUUGGACAAUGGGCGAAAGCCUGAUCCAGCAAUGCCGCGUGUGUGAAGAAGGCCUUCGGGUUGUAAAGCACUUUUGUCCGGAAAGAAAUCCUUGGCCCUAAUACGGUCGGGGGAUGACGGUACCGGAAGAAUAAGCACCGGCUAACUACGUG